GGGGAAUCGUACAGGUGUGGGGAAUCGUACAGGUGUGGGGAAUCGUACAGGUGUGGGGAAUCGUACAGGUGUGGGGAAUCGUACAGGUGUGGGGCAUUAUACAGGCGUGGGAAUUGUACAAAUGUGCGAAAUUAUACAGGUGUGGGGAAUCGUACAGGUGUGGGGAAUCGUACAGGUGUGGGGAAUCGUACAGGUGUGGGGAAUCGUACAGGUGUGGGGAAUCGUACAGGUGUGGGAACCGUACAGGUGUGGGGCAUUAUACAGGUGUGGGAAUCAUACAAAUGUGGGAAUCGUAAAGGUGUGG